rnacentral:rRNA from 1 species
GUGGGGAAUCUUCCGCAAUGGACGAAAGUCUGACGGAGCAACGCCGCGUGAGUGAAGAAGGUUUUCGGAUCGUAAAGCUCUUUCGUUAGGGACGAACGUGCUCUUUGUGAAUAAUGAGGAGUAAUGACGGUACCUAAAUAAGAAGCCACGGCUAACUACGUGCCAGCAGCCGCGGUAAUACGUAGGUGGCAAGCGUUGUCCGGAAUUAUUGGGCGUAAAGCGCGCGCAGGCGGGAUAUCAAGUCUGUCUUAAAAGUGCGAGGCUCAACCUCGUGAGGGGACAGAAACUGGUAUUCUUGAGUGUCGGAGAGGAAAGUGGAAUUCCAAGUGUAGCGGUGAAAUGCGUAGAGAUUUGGAAGAACACCAGUGGCGAAGGCGACUUUCUGGACGAUGUCUGACGCUGAGGCGCGAAAGCCAGGGGAGCGAACGGGAUUAGAUACCCUAGUAGUCC